rnacentral:rRNA from 1 species
UACGUAGGUGGCAAGCGUUGUCCGGAUUUAUUGGGCGUAAAGCGCUCGCAGGCGGUCUUUUAAGUCUGAUGUGAAAUCCCGCGGCUCAACCGCGAACGGUCAUUGGAAACUGGAGGACUUGAGUGCAGAAGAGGAGAGUGGAAUUCCACGUGUAGCGGUGAAAUGCGUAGAGAUGUGGAGGAACACCAGUGGCGAAGGCGACUCUCUGGUCUGUAACUGACGCUGAGGAGCGAAAGCGUGGGGGGAGCGAACAGG